rnacentral:misc_RNA from 1 species
UGUCACUUAUUUUUUGACUUGUGACUAGAAACUAGUGUGUUAUAAGAAGAUUUUUAAUUAUGCUGUUUGAGUUUGGAUCACUAAGGGUCUAACAAGCGAAGGUUUCAAAUAUCAACAGCAUUGCUCGAAAAGGUUCAAAGAUAUUUUGACAUUCCUGCCUCACUGAACUAUAAGAAAGCGUGAGUAUUCUUUGAGAUAAGAACUAAUUUUAAAAAAUUUACCUUAAGAAUUUGUUGACAACGA